rnacentral:lncRNA from 1 species
UCUGUCUCUCGGAGGAGCAAACGGCUCAUGAUCCAUCGUCUCUUCUUCUUCUUUGGGAUCCAUGACACUCUUGGGUGGUGAUGGAUGCAUGGCCAGAGUAAAUUAUUGGAAUGUCAAUUCUUGGAGACAUAUACCUACAUGCAUAUAUACAUGUGAACAUAGACCCUCUCCCAAACCAAAUGUACAUAGCAUAUUCGUCUUCGCAAGAACAUUUCAGCUAGAUUCCUAGAAUGGUGCCUGUCCACCCAAUUUUGAGUCUGGCUCACUGACCACGUAUGUUUAUUUUUGUUUUUGGCUAAUUAAGCUCGAUCUGAGUGGUAUCAUUUGAAGUGUAUCCAUGGUUAAAUUACAA